rnacentral:rRNA from 1 species
UAGGGAAUCUUCCACAAUGGACGAAAGUCUGAUGGAGCAACGCCGCGUGAGUGAAGAAGGGUUUCGGCUCGUAAAGCUCUGUUGGUAGUGAAGAAAGAUAGAGGUAGUAACUGGCCUUUAUUUAACGGUAAUUACUUAGAAAGUCACGGCUAACUACGUGCC